UCGACUGUUACAUCUACGGAU
ensembl:piRNA 21ur-15027 ncRNA